CUCAUUCUCUGCAAUUUUCACUGAUUAGUCUUUAUGGUUCUCACUGGGCCACACAGAAGGUGAGUCUUUCACAUGGUAGCUAUUGUAUACCUCUAUGCUCCCCAAGUUUUGUUUGGAUCUAGUUUCUCAUUUAUUUGCAUUUAAAGUCAAGCAGACAAUCCCAAAAAAUGGUUAUGUCAGUAGAGUCCCUCAUCGAGGUUUAUUUCCUUAAGUUGUUCAUAUAAAUUCUAAAGAGACUUAUUAUUCUCCUCUGCCUGUGAAAUCCUUUUUUGCUUUUUCAAUUCAACCUUCAAUUUAGUUUCUUUCUCGGUAGCAUAUCUCAAUGAACAGUGGUUACUAUAGCCUCAGUGUGCACUCACCUUAAUCCUAUCAUUUAGCCUUAGUCCUACUUUCCUAUGUCUAUGGUCGAUCCCUACAAUUUCAAAAGCCAGAAUGUUAUGUUUUUCUUAAAAUAAGCAAAUUAUAGAACCUAAUAGCAGUUUGUAAUCUAGUGUUUAUGUCUUUACCUAAAUGUUUACUUCUCAGAUCCACUUUGGAUAUAAAAACAAUGUGAAUAUUUAGUUGCUCAGUUAUUAAAACUGCCACAUAGUGAAGUUUUAUUACAUAUUUCUUUGAAAAGUUUUUAAAAUUAUAACAAUAUAGGUAUAAACCUCUUAUGAGUAUGUCAUUAAAAUAAUAAAUAAUAUUUAAAAUAAAUCCUGAUCAGAGCUUGUAAAUACAUGAGUUCAGUCAGGUCUUUUAUGGUAGAUUAUAGGUGCCAAAUGUAGCUGUCAGACUCUCAGCUUCUAGAGUAUGAUGUCCCAUAUGUUCCUUUAAAAAUACCAAAAAGACAUUUUUAUGGUUAUAUGUGUGUGUGUGUGUGUGUGUGUGUAUUAUAUAUAUUAUAUAUAACAUCCUUGGUAUUAUAAUAAAUUUUUAUCUAUAAUAUGAAAACUUGUGGAAUUU
rnacentral:lncRNA from 1 species